AGAGUUUGAUCCAGGCUCAGGACGAACGCUGGCGGCGUGCCUAACACAUGCAAGUCGAACGGAGAUAUCCUUCGGGGUAUCUUAGUGGCGAACGGGUGAGUAACGCGUGGGUAACCUGCCCUUUUAUCGGGGAUAACUUGCCGAAAGGUGAGCUAAUACCGGAUGUCCUAUCUUGAUCACCUGAUUGAGAUAGCAAAGGUGGCCUCUUAACAAUGCUACCGUAAAAGGAUGGACCCGCGUCUGAUUAGCUAGUUGGUGAGGUAACGGCUCACCAAGGCGACGAUCAGUAGCCGGCCUGAGAGGGUGAACGGCCACACUGGGACUGAGACACGGCCCAGACUCCUACGGGAGGCAGCAGUGGGGAAUCUUCCGCAAUGGACGAAAGUCUGACGGAGCAACGCCGCGUGAGUGACGAAGGUCUUCGGAUUGUAAAACUCUGUUUUUUGGGACGAACGGCUCAUAUGUGAAUAAUGUAUGAGAUUGACGGUACCAAAGGAGGAAGCCCCGGCUAACUACGUGCCAGCAGCCGCGGUAAUACGUAGGGGGCAAGCGUUGUCCGGAAUUAUUGGGCGUAAAGAGCGCGCAGGCGGGUCUGUCAGUCUACCGUGAAAGCUUACGGCUCAACCGUAACGGGUCGGUGGAUACUGCAGAUCUUGAGGGCAGGAGAGGAAAGUGGAAUUCCCAGUGUAGCGGUGAAAUGCGUAGAUAUUGGGAGGAACACCAGUGGCGAAGGCGACUUUCUGGACUGUUACUGACGCUGAGGCGCGAAAGCUGGGGGAGUGAACGGGAUUAGAUACCCC
rnacentral:rRNA from 1 species